UGGGGAAUUUUGGACAAUGGGGGAAACCCUGAUCCAGCCAUCCCGCGUGUGCGAUGAAGGCCUUCGGGUUGUAAAGCACUUUUGGCAGGAAAGAAACGUCAUGGGUUAAUACCCCGUGAAACUGACGGUACCUGCAGAAUAAGCACCGGCUAACUACGUGCCAGCAGCCGCGGUAAUACGUAGGGUGCAAGCGUUAAUCUGAAUUACUGGGCGUAAAGCGUGCGCAGGCGGUUCGGAAAGAAAGAUGUGAAAUCCCAGAGCUCAACUUUGGAACUGCAUUUUUAACUACCGGGCUAGAGUGUGUGAGAGGGAGGUGGAAUUCCGCGUGUAGCAGUGAAAUGCGUAGAUAUGCGGAGGAACACCGAUGGCGAAGGCAGCCUCCUGGGAUAACACUGACGCUCAUGCACGAAAGCGUGGGGAGCAAACAGG
rnacentral:rRNA from 1 species